AUGAGCCUGCAGGCCAGCGAGGACCAGCUGCAGCGCAAGGCCGAGGUCCUGGAUCACUUCACCCGCCACAGGUGCAAGAAGAAGAAGAAGAAAGCCAAAGCCCUCUCUGCCAAGCAAAGGUGGGAGCUGCGGCUCUUUGACAUUAAAUCAGAGCAACAGAGAUACGAUCUUUUUCUCCCUCUCCACGAACUCUGGAAACAGUAUGUCAGGGACCUGUGUAAUGGGCUUAAGCCAAACACACAGCCACAGAUAAUUCAGGCCAAGCUGUUAAAGGCAGAUCUUCACGGGGCUGUUAUUUCAGUGACAAAAUCCAAAUGCCCCUCUUAUGUGGGUAUUACAGAAUCCUUCUACAAGAAACAAAACAUAUUUUCAAAAUUAUCACCAAAGAAGACCGCCUGAAAGUUAUCCCCAAGUUAAACUGUGUGUUCACUGCAGAAAUUGAUGGCUUUAUUUCCUACAUUUAUGGGAGCAAAUUCCAGCUUUGGUCAAGUGAAUGGUCUGCAAAGAAGUUCAAAGCGAAGGCAACGAUUGACAUGUGAAUGCCUUGCCAUCUAAGGCAGUUGUCUAUGACAGCUGAAAACUGAAACUCCCUCAAUGCCCACCUUUCAGUGAAGAGAUGGCUAAGCCAAUUCCGGUUAUAGACCACCUCCAGCCAAUGGAGUUCCGGGUUGAAGAUGUUGAGGAAUAUGGGAAGGUCGCAGUGUACUGAGUGAAGAAGUCAGGGGACGGAGGAAUUUCUCUUUCUAGGAGAUCUUAAUUGCGUAUGACUCCCAUAGGGAGGAACAGACUGACAGGAAACAUACCAGGGUUAACACUGGUUGAC